rnacentral:rRNA from 1 species
CGACGGUGAGUAACACGUAUGCAAUCCACCUGUAACAGGGGGAUAACCCGGAGAAAUCCGGACUAAUACCCCAUAAUAUGGGCGCUCCGCAUGGAGAGUCCAUUAAAGAGAGCAAUCUUGGUUACAGACGAGCAUGCGCUCCAUUAGCCAGUUGGCGGGGUAACGGCCCACCAAGGCGACGAUGGAUAGGGGUUCUGAGAGGAAGGUCCCCCACAUUGGAACUGAGACACGGUCCAA